UUCCCACACACCCGAGUGCGUGACUGCAGGCCCAGAUCGUCACACGCAGACCACAAGGUCCAGGCCAUCCAGCCACCUGCAUGGACAAACACGCUUUUAGAGGGUUCUACCAUGCAUUUACACUGAUUUCUUUGAAGUCAGAGAUGACAGACUGCUAAGCAACCAGAGAUUUUACGAUGCAGAAACAGAGUCAGCAGCGACAAGAGACAAGCUACAGAGACAAGCGCUUCAGAGCAGUGCGAAUUGUACUAUGGAGCUGACAGAUGGCGCAUAUCUUGG